rnacentral:ncRNA from 2 species
CUCUUAUCAAGAGUGGUGGAGGGACUGGCCCGAAGAAACCCGGCAACCCCGCGAGAAGCGGAGAGGUGCUAAAUCCAGCAGGCACACAUAAAGUAGUCUGGCAGAUAAGAG